rnacentral:rRNA from 1 species
GACAGAGGCCUCAAGCGUUAGGCGGAAUCACUGGGCUUAAAGCGUGUGUAGGCGGAUCGUUAAGUGUCUUGUGAAAUCCCACGGCUCACCCGUGGAACGGCUGGGCAUACUGGCGAUCUUGGGCCAACUAGGGGCAACUGGAACAAGCGGUGGAGCGGUGAAAUGCGUAGAUAUCAAGUAGAACACCAGUGGCGAAGGCGAGUCCCUGGACAAUUCCUGACACUGAGGCACGAAAGCUAGGGGAGCAAACAGG